AGAGUUUGAUCAUGGCUCAGAUUGAACGCUGGCGGCAGGCCUAACACAUGCAAGUCGAGCGGAAACGACAACAUUGAUUCUUCGGAUGAUUUAUUGGGCGUCGAGCGGCGGACGGGUGAGUAAUGCCUGGGAAAUUGCCCUGAUGUGGGGGAUAACUAUUGGAAACGAUAGCUAAUACCGCAUAAUGCCUUCGGGCCAAAGAGGGGGACCUUCGGGCCUCUCGCGUCAGGAUAUGCCCAGGUGGGAUUAGCUAGUUGGUGAGGUAAUGGCUCACCAAGGCGACGAUCCCUAGCUGGUCUGAGAGGAUGAUCAGCCACACUGGAACUGAGACACGGUCCAGACUCCUACGGGAGGCAGCAGUGGGGAAUAUUGCACAAUGGGCGCAAGCCUGAUGCAGCCAUGCCGCGUGUAUGAAGAAGGCCUUCGGGUUGUAAAGUACUUUCAGUCGUGAGGAAGGUUCAUGCGUUAAUAGCGUAUGGAUUUGACGUUAGCGACAGAAGAAGCACCGGCUAACUCCGUGCCAGCAGCCGCGGUAAUACGGAGGGUGCGAGCGUUAAUCGGAAUUACUGGGCGUAAAGCGCAUGCAGGUGGUUCGUUAAGUCAGAUGUGAAAGCCCGAGGCUCAACCUCGGAACUGCAUUUGAAACUGGCGGACUAGAGUACUGUAGAGGGGGGUAGAAUUUCA
rnacentral:rRNA from 1 species